rnacentral:rRNA from 1 species
GACAGAGGCCUCGAGCGUUAGGCGGAAUCACUGGGCUUAAAGCGUGUGUAGGCGGACGCCUAAGUACCUUGUGAAAUCCCACGGCUCACCCGUGGAACCGCUGGGUAUACUGGGCGUCUUGGGCCAUUCAGGGGCGACUGGAACAAGCGGUGGAGCGGUGAAAUGCGUAGAUAUCGCUUGGAACGCCGGACGGUGAAAACAGGUCGCUGGGAAUGUGCCGACGCUGAGACACGAAAGCCAGGGGAGCAAACGGG